UUGCCCUGAAACCAUUUAUGGAGAAUUUUUGCAGCCAUUGCAGCACAUUUUGAAGAGAAAGGCUUCGACUUGAGAUGGGUUGUUUCGCGACGAAGCUGGAGCAGGAGGGAGAGGCAGUGACCAUUUGCUGGGAGAGGAAGAAGCUGCUGAAACAAGCGGUUGAGAGACGGUACACUCUUGCGGAGGUCCACUUCAGGUUGCCAGGCUUUGGACGCGGUCUCCGCGGCCAUCAAGCUGUGCUUCGAAACCAGGCUACAGAGAGCUCAAUUCUAGCUUUGUGGCUUCAAUUCAAAGUUUUGUAGGGAAAAUUACUUGAAUGAUACAAGUAAUCGGCGAAAUCUGGACUGAUUCGAGGGAACCCUAAACCAGAGGCUCCGGCUUGAAGAAAGGAGAUUGUGUGGCAUUGCGACUUUCCGACCUCGAUUAUGAGGUUCUUCUGGCCGAUUUCGAUGAAAUCUGGAGUGAUUCAAGCAAAAUCGAGUUUGAAAAUGGGGUAGAGGAUCGAGCUUGGAAUCUGUCGAUGGCCACUGUGGCUUUGUUGAGUAGGAAGAGCACCCUACCCAACGGUCAAAUGCAAGAGCACCGACAGGGAAAAAAAAAAGAAAGGCGAAACAUUAGUCAAAUGUAUUCAGCUUAGGUGGGGCCCUCAACUGUGGCUUUGUUGUCUAUUUGUGAGUUAAAUUGAGUUGAGUUAACCGAAAAUACCCUUGCUCCUCAACUCUAUCCCUUCGCUGGUUUAACACCGUUUCCGCAAUCGCGAGAUGCCUUUAAGUGUGAAAUGUUUCUAAUACUUUUAAUAUUCCAAAAAUACCCCUGCCCCCUCCAACUCUACUCUUGGCUGGUUUAAGGCCGUUCCGGCAAUCGCGAGACGCCUCUGUUCAGCAGCUAAUAUAAGCAAGAAGGCUCCCGCCAGUCACGCCAGUGCCUCUCACUGCUUGCACUGCCGCCAAGUCCCAUUCCCGUCUCAUCCUACGGUCCGGGAUGGCCCAUCCAUUGUCUUGUCGCCGGUCUCAUACAUCCCCUGCCCUGUCUUCUUCACUGCUUCCUUAACUGUCGUUGCUCUUCUCCCGCCACUUUCACCAAUGUUGUGUCCCAUUGCUUCCUUCCACUUGCCAUCAAUCUCAUUGUUCGGACUUCCUCCGUCCAGCGCGGUCCCUUCAGCGCAACAAUUUCCUUCACUCCAUGUAUUUAUACGUCCCCCCACAUUACUUUCUCCGCUUCCGGCUUCUCCGACCAAGCACUCCGCUUCUGAUCCUUGUGCUGCCGCCCUCGGCACCGGCCUCCUCUUGGUCCAACCCACGCCUACCCGUCAACGCCACAGUGCUGAGGUUGGCUGCUUCUACCUACCCUACCACCGUGUACCCGCUCACCAAUUCGUGUCUUUUCACCGAUUCCCCAUCGUGCCUGCCUGUCCGCGGAGUGGUCCUCCUCCAUUUCUACUUCCCAACUGAUCCAUUUUUCCCCCCCUCAAGCUGCUUGAUCAAAUGCCUAUCACAGUCAUCCCAAUCUCUGCAGCGCCAGUUGAUCGAAUUUUACACCAAAUAGAUGAAGUAUCACUUCAAUUUGAUCGGCAUUUUCGGUUUCUACUAGAGACAUGAGUUGUCCUGUUGAAAUUCUGAAACACUUCAUAAAAGAAACAAAAGGAACUGUACCGACUUACCGCACAGGUACAUACAUGACCUUCCAACUUCUUGGAUUAGGCCAUUCUUUUGGAUCUGCUAUCCACCUAUUAAUUGGAGCAAGAAAUGCUGUGCAAAAAAAAUGGGAUCUUGUUGAUGCCAUUCGAUAACAAGGUACUUCCUUUUUCCUCACCUACACUUGUUUCACUGGCAGUAAAAGCCAUUUUUAUUACAUAUUACAUCAUCACCAACAGCCAGACUAGGCUAAGGAAAUGUACUCUGUUCUGCUGGUUUUCAUUAUUAAUGGGCUCUGGCAAAUAAUUCACCAGCUAAUAUAAGGUUUAAGAGAUCUUGUGGCAUGAGGUACUUUGCAAUGACGUCAAUAUACUAUACAAUUUUACCCAUCAUUUAUAAGGAUUUGUUCUUGGUUUUCAACUAAAGUUGAUCACUGUGAUGAUGCGCCCAAAGAGAGGGUGCCAUCAAUGAGUGUUGAUUAUGAGAUGACAAGGUUACUUUAUUCCAACUGGAUACCUUAGUUUAGCUAAUAAACUACACAUUUGUGGUUAUACUUUUGGAUUAUUCUAUUUACUGGAGUGAUGAUAAUAAUGAUCAUUGGUCUGCAUAAGAUCUGUAAGCUAUUGUCUUUUAAGUUUCUUCUACACUUGCUUCUGCCAAUGUCUGAUCGAACAUCUCAUUUUAUUAUGGUCUUGUAUGAAUCGGGAACUUUCACAAGAUGCAUCAUGGGCCCAUUACGUGCUUAUCUUUGGUCAAGAUCAGUUUUAUUUUAAAUGGUCUUACUUCAUGAAUCAGGACCAUAAAGGUAUUGAAUCUUUCAUCGGAUAAGUGCGCACCUAUGCUAAGGCCUUAAGAAUUGAUCGCUUUCAUCUUAUUCAAUUACUUUUACCAUCAGUUGAUGGCAGUUGUGCUUGACCCAAAUGGAAAAUUAAAUUGGUAUUAACACCGCCAUUUUCGCUUAGAUAGUAUUCUUCUACGCAUUGAAGAUGAUAGAUUAGGAGCUAAACUAUAUUUCAUAUUAUUUUAGUAAUGUAGCUAAUACCCAUUUGGUCAGUUUCUUUGUUGAUAGUCAAUAGUUUUCUCUUCUUUUUUUUUAUUAACUAUUAAUUUUCACUUUUUCUCUGCUGCUUGAAGGAACAUGAGUUGUGACUGACGCAAAUCGAUUUUCAUGGAUUGUUGGUGUCGAAUAAAUUCUUCAAGCGAUGAUGUUUCCAUUAUAAGGUAUUGCAGGGACAUCUUUAGGAGUGGGUUUUACGAUCCCAUCUUCUUUUUUCCUUUCUUUUUUCCGAGAGAAACAGAGCCCAGGCCCAUUCGAUCCCAUCUCCUACUGGAACUGGCGGGUGUUCACUGUUCAGUCAGCUCAUUGAUCGUCACAUGUCUCUGCAAAUCGCAGCCAUUAACCCUCCAAGCCCAUGCGACCAGCCUGACCAGAUCUGCUGGUCCUUAGAGCCAUCAGGAUUUUUUUCGAUUUCAUCAGCGCACAAUCUUCUUGCUAAAGAUUUCUGGGAUAAUGAGGGCUUGACCUGGAAACUCAUAGAUAUGGAGAUGGAGAGGGCCUCAUAGAAUCUGAAAGUUCCUUUGGAUUGCGGCCCAUAACCGACUUCUCACCAAUAGUCUCCAUGCUUCGUGGAACUUAUCUCACUCUUGCCUGUGCAGCUCCUGCAGUUCAGGGGUGGAGUCUUUCACUCAUGUGUUUCGGGAUUGUGUCUAUAUGCGAGCUAUGUGGGAGACCAUUGUCCCCCAGGUAUUCCGUGACUCUUUCUUCUCCCCUCCCCUCUUGGACUGGCUUACUUUCAACGUCCUCUCUAAAGAGGGUUCCCAUGCUGCCCCAUCUUGUUGGGCAAGUGUAUUUGCUAUCUCCUGUUGGUUAUUGUGGUCUUGGCGGAACGAGGAGCUUUCUGAACAGAAUUUUUCUUUAUGAAUGGCUGCUUCCUUCCAGCCGGCUUACAACGAUUGCUGUCAUUUGUUAGGACUAGUUAGGGCGUGCAAAUUAGGGGGCUGGAAGAUUUUGGGACUGCUCAGAGAUGUUACCAAAUCCAAGUCGAUGAUCCGAUCCAAGUUGGAAGAUUUUUUUUUUAAAUAACAAAUUAAUUCCAGGAAUAUCUUUAAGUCAUAGCUUCAUAUGUAUACAUGUCCAUGAAAGUAGUUUGGGUGGAAGUAGGCUAAUUAUUCAAACUCACUCAUUUUGGUUUCUUUGAAGUAGUUUGAACUCGAAUUUGUGCAUAUAGCAAUUUGUUAAUUUUGCUUUAAGAUACUGGAUUUGAGUAAUAUGCUUGAGUCUUGGUAUUCUUAUCAAUUUAAGUGAAUUAACGAGAA